UACGUAGGUGGCAAGCGUUGUCCGGAAUCACUGGGCGUAAAGGGCGCGUAGGCGGCCUGAUAAGUAGGGGGUGAAAUCCUGCGGCUUAACCGCAGGGCUGCCUUCUAAACUGUCAGGCUUGAGCACAGUAGAGGCAGGUGGAAUUCCCGGUGUAGCGGUGGAAUGCGUAGAGAUCGGGAAGAACAUCAGUGGCGAAGGCGGCUUUCUGGUCUGUAACUGACGCUGAGGCGCGAAAGCGUGGGGAGCAAACAGG
rnacentral:rRNA from 1 species